rnacentral:lncRNA from 1 species
GUGUGAGGUGUAGGGUCUAUGGUUUCAACUCUAGAUUUUGUGAGAAAAAAAAUACAAGAAUGAGUCUUGUUCAAUAUCCCACACCACCACCUCCUUGUAAGGCUUUGUCUUCUGAUCUAGAAGAGUCCAGGAGAUCCAAAGAAAGGAGCUUAGAUUAGCUAUCUAGAGCCUUCGACACGAGCUAGCACUCUCGUGAAAGAAGAUCCGAUC